AUGUCUGUAAAUCGGAUACUUGUAAAGCAUCAAAACCAACUCUAGCUACUGUACCUACAUGUCCACAAAGCAAAACAGAACUUCAGAGGGCUAAAGACGAGAAGGAUUGUGGAAGUUUAGCAAGAUUGCAAAACUGUUCAAAACCUGAGGACUUUGUUUAUCACUGCCUUAUUAGUACAACAAAAGACAAGCUAUAUGAAGUAUGUGCUCCAGCAAUUUACUCACCCGGAUAUUGUAUCAGAUAUGACAGCUCAAGGCAAGAUAUUCAGGUAUUAUAUACGGAUCGCUGCAAUGCAAGUAGCUGCUCCAAAACAUUUUUCUCAGCAGACAUACUUAACUAUCAUAUUUGCCAGCAGCGGUUGCUAAGAGUGGAAAAGACUAGUAUGUUCCAUCCUAAUACCAUAGACAGAAAAA